rnacentral:rRNA from 1 species
UAACACGUAGGGAACCUGCCCAUGCGGCCGGGACAACUUCCGGAAACGGAUGCUGAUACCGGAUAAGGAAAGCGAAGGCAUCUUUGCUUUGUUAAAGGAGCUGCAAGGCUCCGCGCAUGGAUGGACCUGCGGUGCAUUAGCCGGUUGGUGAGGUAAAGGCUCACCAAGGCGACGAUGCAUAGCCGGCCUGAGAGGGCGAACGGCCACACUGGGACUGAGACACGGCCCAGACUCCUACGGAAGGCAGCAG